CUGCGAGCAGCCAUAAACGUCGUCUCGCCUAAUGACCUUAAAAAUCCUUCUGUGCCUUCAUGCUGCUGGAAAAAGUUCACUAGGGAGUUCAAGCAGACAUCUGCCGCCUCACAGAUCAUCGGUACAGGCUCUAAGCUAGCGAAAGCCAUGGAACCUAGAGGGAAGUC
rnacentral:lncRNA from 1 species